AUGAGUUGUGGCACAGUGGCAGUCUCACAGGCUGGCGCAUUUACCCACCCAGCAUGUCACUAUCCACCAUCACCCCACCACCUCCCUACUACCCUUCCACUUACCGCCACCACUUCAAUCCCCGCCACCAAAUGUCAACCAAACCCACCAAAACCUUUCCUUACCCUCACACCCAACCCAACCUCACGCACCCACUCCAAUAAUAUUAACAACAACCACAACCCUUUGUUUUUGUUCCUUACACACCACACACCUUCCUCAUCAAUCAAUGGCGACCCCCCCAAACGACGCCGCAUCGACAAAGAAGCCCCAGCCCAUACCAUGGACCCACCAGGAGACCGUGCACCUCAUCCGCGCCUACCAGGAGAAGUGGUAUGCCCUUAAGCGGGGCCCACUCCGCCACAACCAGUGGGAGGAGGUCGCCGUCGUUGUCGCCGCCCGCUGCGGCUAUGACCUCGCCCACCCCGCUAAGUCCGCCCUCCAGUGCCGCCACAAGAUGGAAAAGCUCCGCCAGCGCCACCGUGCCGAGAAGAAGCAACAACACACCGCGGCCGCCCUCCGCCCUGGCGCGUGGCAGUACAACUCCCUCAUGGACGACCUCGAGCGCGGCCCCCUCCCCAUCUCCGCCCUCGCCCCUCUCGACACCUUUGAAGAAGAAGACGAAAACAACGACGACACCAUUGACGAUCGAAACGACUAUGAUGGCGACGGGAGUUUUAUUAACAUCAAGUCGAAGAGUAUUAACUGUAUCCUCAGCGAGAGGCCUGUGAGAAUGAGAAGCAACAAAAGAGGGUUUUUGAGAGAGCACGUUGUUGUUAAAGAAGAAGAGGAGAAUGAAAACGAAGACGACGACGUUUUGGGGUUGUCGACGGAGAUGAGGGCUUUCGCGGAGAGGUUUAUUGGGAUGGAGAGUUUGAAGAUGGAGAUGAUGAAGGAGACGGAGAGGUGUAGGUUGGAGAUGGAGAAGAAGCGGAUCCAGAUGAUUCUGGAAACGCAAAGGAGGAUCGUUGAUUCCAUUGGGAGGGCGUUUGGGUCUAACAAGAGGAUCAAGAUUACUCAACAAAACUGAAAAGGGUUUCAUUUCUUUUCUUUUCUAAAUUGUAAUUUUGAUUGAGUUUAAUUUCUAUGCAUUGUGUAAGAAGUUUUAAUCAAGAGGUACCACUUAUACAUGACAGAAUGUGAUGGGAUGACAGUGAAUACAUGCACUAUUUACUCAGUUUAAAUUAGGGUUAAACAUGGUUUUAGUGGAAAUUCACUUUUGGUUCUUUUUUGUUUGGUCUUUUGUUUAUGGAAAUGUGUCAGGCAUGGUUCUAAAUUGCGGUUGUGGUUUCGUCCUGAUCCUUGACAUUGUGGGCAAAUGUGGCUGAUGCGGCCGCAAUUGCGAUCACAGUACGGUUGUGUGAUUGUGAAAUAUAAUGAUCGAAAUAAGCUCUGAUUGGUUUCUAUCGAAGAAGAGUCUACAAAACCAGUUGCACAGUGCACUGCAAGUUAUUUAUUCUAUUUAUUGUUGCAUUUGAAGUCUUUACUACUCACCUCAAUUAGGCUUGAUUGACUUGGUGCCUUCUGAUCCAGUUUCUUAAGACUAGGGUGUAACAAUGCUGUUAGUGGUUCAAGCCUCCAUUAACCCACCUAUUCUGCAUUUUUUGUCUAUAUAUUGCACUUAUUAGUGAGGAAUGGUCAAAAUUCCUCAUAAGAUUUUUUUCAGUAUCACACAUGCAUAAUGCUGAUUAUUUUGGCUCCAAGACAACUAGAGACAUGACAAAACUGGUGUUCUGUCUAACUAACUGCAAUAUGGUACCAACUAUGACCAAACUUUCUAGAUAUCCAAGCAGUCUUGACAUUUUCACCAUGUAUUUUGAUAUUGCUAAUUUGAAAUAUCUGAUUCUCUAAAGGUCUUUGGUCAACCCUUCUGGUUAUUUUGUCAUGUAGAUUAUUCCUUGGUAUGCAGCAAUGGCCAUCUGACAUUAAUCCAUUUCUUGUUUUUCA